UACGUAGGGUGCAAGCGUUGUCCGGAAUUAUUGGGCGUAAAGAGCUCGUAGGCGGCUUGUCGCGUCGGCUGUGAAAACUCGGGGCUCAACCCCGAGCCUGCAGUCGAUACGGGCAGGCUAGAGUCCGGAAGAGGCGAGUGGAACUCCUGGUGUAGCGGUGGAAUGCGCAGAUAUCAGGAAGAACACCGACGGCGAAGGCAGCUCGCUGGGACGGUACUGACGCUGAGGCGCGAAAGCGUGGGGAGCGAACAGG
rnacentral:rRNA from 1 species